rnacentral:rRNA from 1 species
UACAGAGGUCUCAAGCGUUGUUCGGAAUCAUUGGGCGUAAAGGGCGCGUAGGUGGCUUCUCAAGCGUGCGGUGAAAGCCUGGGGCUCAACCCCGGGUCGGCCGUGCGAACUGGGGGGCUGGAGCACUGUAGAGGCAGGCGGAAUUCCGGGUGUAGCGGUGGGAUGCGUAGAGAUCCGGAAGAACACCGGUGGCGAAGGCGGCCUGCUGGGCAGUUGCUGACACUGAGGCGCGACAGCGUGGGGAGCAAACAGG